rnacentral:rRNA from 1 species
GACGAACGCUGGCGGCGUGCUUAACACAUGCAAGUCGAACGGAAAGGCCCUGCUUUUGUGGGGUGCUCGAGUGGCGAACGGGUGAGUAACACGUGAGUAACCUGCCCUUGACUUUGGGAUAACUUCAGGAAACUGGGGCUAAUACCGGAUAGGAGCUCCUGCUGCAUGGUGGGGGUUGGAAAGUUUCGGCGGUUGGGGAUGGACUCGCGGCUUAUCAGCUUGUUGGUGGGGUAGUGGCUUACCAAGGCUUUGACGGGUAGCCGGCCUGAGAGGGUGACCGGCGACAUGGGGACUGAGAUACGGACCAGAAGCCUACGGGAGGCAGCAGUGGGGAAUAUUGCACAAUGGGCGGAAGCCUGAUGCAGCAACGCCGCGUGCGGGAUGACGGCCUUCGGGUUGUAAACCGCUUUCGCCUGUGACGAAGCGUGAGUGACGGUACUGGGUAAAGAAGCACCGGCUAACUACGUG